GAUGAACGCUGGCGGCGUGCUUAACACAUGCAAGUCGAACGGAAAGGCCCAAGCUUGCUUGGGUACUCGAGUGGCGAACGGGUGAGUAACACGUGGGUGAUCUGCCCUGCACUUCGGGAUAAGCCUGGGAAACUGGGUCUAAUACCGGAUAGGACCACAUUUUGGAUGGUGUGGUGGAAAGUUUUUCGGGGUGGGAUGAGCUCGCGGCCUAUCAGCUUGUUGGUGGGGUAAUGGCCUACCAAGGCGUCGACGGGUAGCCGGCCUGAGAGGGUGUACGGCCACAUUGGGACUGAGAUACGGCCCAGACUCCUACGGGAGGCAGCAGUGGGGAAUAUUGCACAAUGGGCGCAAGCCUGAUGCAGCGACGCCGCGUGGGGGAUGACGGCCUUCGGGUUGUAAACUCCUUUCGCUAGGGACGAAGCGUUAUGUGACGGUACCUGGAGAAGAAGCACCGGCUAACUACGUG
rnacentral:rRNA from 1 species